rnacentral:lncRNA from 1 species
UGACGGCGUCGUGGAUUCGGCGUGAUUGACGGCGGUUCGUGGAUUCGGAUCGUGAGCUUCGUGGAUUCGGAGUGGAGGCGUUUCGUGAAAUCGGAACGUGGCGCUCGUGGAUUCGAACGUGAGGGCGUGGAUAAUCCGGAGGAUUACGCGAGAUUCAUAGGAGGUAAAGAGAGGUCGAGUCCGUGGAGUCGGUAAUCACCUUGUAAUCUUUUCUCUUAGUGAAUUAUUUUUUCGCGUGUUGGUCCCAUGGGUUUUUCUCUAAGUUGGAGUUUU